GAUGUAGCUCAGUUGGUAGAGUGCUUGCCUUGCAUGCACAAGGACCUGGGUUCAAUCCCCAACAUC
rnacentral:tRNA from 1 species